rnacentral:rRNA from 1 species
UACAGAGGGGGCAAGCGUUAUUCGGAAUUAUUGGGCGUAAAGGGCGCGUAGGCGGCCUGGCAAGUGGAAGGUGAAAUCCCUCGGCUUAACCGAGGAACUGCCCUCCAAACUGCUUGGCUUGAGUCCGGGAGAGGUGAGUGGAAUUCCCGGUGUAGUGGUGGAAUGCGUAGAGAUCGGGAGGAACACCAGUGGCGAAGGCGGCCGGCUGGGGGUGACCUGACGCUGAGGCGCGAAAGCGUGGGGAGCGAACCGG